rnacentral:lncRNA from 1 species
UAAUAUGAAACAAAACAAGUAACAUUUUAUAUGAUUUUAGUAAACGAAAAGUUAUUUGGCUCUUCAAAUAGUAUAAAGUGGUAUGGAAGGAGUUCCUAGAAAUUGAGACCUUUUCCUUUCCUCUUGUUUUCUUAGUUAAAUAACUACUCAUUUUAAAACUAUGCAUUGUAUUAAAAAGAGUGUUACUAUUACAUAUAAACUUUAUAAUAAUUAUUGUUAGCUAGACUACACGUACACUAAAAGUGGUACCAACACAUAAAAUAAGUAAACUCAGAGAAAAAGGUUAUCAUACUAAGGAUGUUAACGAGGAUAUAACUCAGAUAUGGAUGCCUCAUUUCGUGAUGAACCAAUAGAUUUACUUUUGGCUAGUUCACUAGAGUCUGUCAUUCUUGUGUUGUAUUCUUUAAUAAGCGACGUCUCUGCGGUAAUAUUACUGUGCAUAUAGAAUGCUGGCCCUGAAGGCAUUGGAAGACUCAACGAAAAGCUACUGAGCAUGAGAACAACAGCUGCCAUGGUUGGUCUAUCAGCCACACUUUCUUGAACACACAAUAAAGCUAUGUGAAUGCUUCUCAUUAUGUCACGAAUCAGUCCUGUGCUUUCCUUCAGCAUUGGAUCUACAAAAUCUAUAGUUGUUCCAUUACGCCAGCUUAACCAAGCCUGUAUGUGAAUGUGAUAGUUCAAUUAUCAGAAUAAGAUGAAAUUCUCUGACCAUUUCACAAAAUUAAUACUUGAUUGAUUGGCCAGGUUACUUACAAAACUCAAAAGGUCUUCCACCGAUUCUCCAUUUCUGAAACAAGUGUUUUUUUGGCCACUUAAAAUUUCUAAGACUAGUACUCCAAAGCUAAAAACAUCUGACUUUACGGAAAAUUGCCCGUGCAUUGCAUACUCUGGUGCCAUAUAUCCACUGUGAAACAAAAACAACAAUUACGUAACAUUCCGCAACUUAUAUAACAUUGCAUAUUUAGUAGUCCAAACAGUGGGAUCAGCAAAACUAAAUAGCUGUUAAAACAGGGAACUACUUGAUGUUAAAAGUCAGAACUACAUGUUUCAUUAAUGAUCUGGGACAUUUUCUCAAGGAAGUCGAAAGCACAAAUUGGGUUGUUAUGUCUUACUGCAAUGUGAAGACAACAUCUUAGACCACUGAUCUAUUCUUGGCUGAGCAAAUAACAAGUUUUGAUGAGUUAAGACCAAUAUCUUGUAUUUUGCUACCGCGAGAUCAUAUCUGAUAACCUCUUUGAACAAUGAGAGUUCAUAUGCAGAAAAGAAGAAGAUAUUUUUGUUCUAAACAAAAUCAAAUUUAGCUUAUUCAUUUCCAGAACUCUGUUUUGGCCGAAGAUCCUGAACUUCAUUUUAAUCAUUAGAGAUUGCAACUUUGGUAGUGACCAAAUUGAGAACAAAACUCUAGGUAUAUAACCAUCAUCUUGAAUAAUACUGAGUUUGUACACCACGAAAGUCCUAGUUCAACAAAAUUGAGGUAAGCAUUCCUAAAGAUAGUACAAUGAUGAGCAAAAUUCAUAUUGAAAAUUCUAAUAACAAUUCAAAGAAAGAUUUUCUUUUGUCUCGAGGCAGCUUUUAUUCUAGCUAAGUUGUUAAAUAAUCCUUCCUAGCAAAAUGCUAAUAACAGUCUAUCCAACGAGAGAGGUAAAACUUACUAGGUCCCAACAAUUCUGUUUGUGCUGCCUUGAGUUUCAUCUAAUUCAAAUAGCCUUGCCAUGCCAAAAUCUGAGAUUUUAGGAUUCAUUUCUGUAUCUAGUAGAACAUUACUAGCUUUGAGAUCACGGUGAAUGAUCCGAAGCCUAGAAUCCUCAUGAAGAUAAAGAAUUCCCUUAGCAAUGCCUCCUAUUAUUUUGGAUCGCCUUUCCCAAUCCAAUUGCCUACGUUUAACUGAAUCUGCGAACAAGAUGAAGAAUAUGAAAAUAAAAUAAAAUUCUAAGUCACUUAAAAUGUUACUACAGGCAACUGCUCAUUAUAAGUGCAAUUAGUUCUAUGGUAUAUAAGGCAGACAACCAGACAAGAUAUCGAAUUACAUUGAUAGAAUAACUUUUGUUAGGGGUGUACAUGGUCGGGUUGGUUCGGGUUUUUUAAAUAUCAAACCAAAUCAUUUGUGUCGGAUUUUUGAAUUUAUAAACCAAACCAAACCAAUAAAACUCGGGCUUUUCAACCUCAGAUUUUUUCAGAUUUUUUUGGGUUUUUUGGAUUUUCGGGUUUUUCUAGUAAAGUAUUCAUACAAACAUAUAAUUUACUUGUACUUCAAAUAUUUCUUUAGUCCUACCAAAAUACAACUAUCUAAGGUGUUUCUUAAGAAAAUAACACAAAAUAUGAUAUGAUUAAUGACAUUAAAAUAUCCAACAAAAAAAUAAUAAUGAAAUCGCGUAAAACAAAUAUUGCAAAUUAAUAAGUAAUAAUGAAAAUAAUCAUAAUUUAAAAGUACUAAAUCAUGCUAAAAUAAGUUUAAUAAGUAUUAGUUACAUGACUAAGUAUUAAAGGAAAUUAAAAAUUAGAUUAUGUACUUUAAUUGUCUAAACCUUUGUAAAACUAAAGAACAAAUAUUCAAUAUUAUUGUCAUUCUUAGUGUUGAAUUGAUUUUCUUUUUGCAUUAGUAUUAAUUCGAUUUUGAUUUAAACUUUAUUAUAAUUACCAACAUCUAUGAACUAUAAUCUUUAUGAACUAUUAAGAAUUCUAAGUUUCAAACAUGAAAUAAUAUAUUAAAAGAUAAAAACUAUGAAAAAAGUAUAACAAAAUAUUUAAAAAUUAUAUCAAAGUAAAUAUUUUUACGUAUAAAAUAAAAUUUUAAAAUUAAUAUAUAUAAUGUCGGGUUGGUUUUUUUUUAGUUAAAACCAAACCAACCCAAAUAUAGUCGGAUUUUUUAUUUCAAUACCAAAUCAAGUCAAACCAAACCACUAGUCGGAUUUUUUUUUCGAUUUGACUCGUUUUACAGUUUGGUUCGGUUUUCGAUUCAAUUUUGUACACCCCUACUUUUGUAUAUAAGUUAAAUUCAUAACUUAUUGAUGCUCAAGCUCAAUAUUGAUAAAAAGUCAAGCAGUACAUACCAAAUAAGAAGUGGUCAAGACUUGCGUUGGGAACAAACUCAUAGACAAGAAGUCGCUCUGUUCCGUCUAGGCAAAAUCCCAGCAACCUAACCAAAUUCCUGUGUUGAAGCCUGGCAACCAACAAGACCUCAUUUUUGAAUUCUAGAUCACCUUGGCCUGAAUCUGCUGAUAACCUUUUCACUGCUACUUCUUGUCCAUUUUGAAGCUUACCCUAAAAUAUAAAUGAAAACAAAUUGAAAAAAUAUGAACUAAAGCAAUGAAAUUAUAACAAGUACUCAUAUUCAGUGGAAAGAAUAUUUGUACAAUAGAAGUUAAAAUCAUGCUACAAUAUGUAAGUUUAAUUACCUUGUACACAGGACCAAAUCCGCCUUCUCCGAGCUUAUUAGCAUCUGAGAAGUCAUCUGUUGCUGCUCUAAUUGCCGAAAAUCAUAUUGAAAAGAUUCUGCAAUACUAGUAUCAUCUACAGAUGUACCUUCACGAACAUAGUAGUAAUAGCUUACAACAAAUUAGUGAAACAUGGUCUUAAUAAUUCAACUUUCCUGAAUUAUUGUUUGUUUAUAGUUUACGCUUACUCUGAAUUUCGUUCACCAGCUUCCUCUUGCGCCUCCUUAUCAUGAUGACAGCAAUACAAAUCAUAAGAAUAACAAUUGUAACAGUUGACACAACGAUAAUGAUAAUUGUUCGUGUUGUUUUAUCAUCCUUCCCUGUUGGAGGUGUUUUAUUUUCCGUCCCUGUUGGAACUGUUUUAUUAUCAUUUCCUACAAAAAAAAAAAAAAAAAGUUUCAAGUUAGUACAAUAUCUUCUCAUUCCCAAUUCACUUGUCUUACUUUGCUUUUAAGAAUAACUAAGAAACUUUGCGUAUUACCUAUUGAAUAUCACAAAUACAAUUGGUCCUAUAAUAUAGUAUGUUCUUCCAGCCUUAACUCAUGUCAAAGACUUGUGGUUGUGUUGAAUUGUAUGAUCUAUCUCAUCUAAAGUCUUAAGUUGUUAUACAUAGUACACUUGUCUUUCGCCCCAUGAAUUGGUUAUUCCUAAACGAGUCAUGAAGGGUAUAACGAAUAUACCUUGUCUCCACAUUGGAUCAAGAACAGGAUCUGACUUGUUUGGCUUUGUGCCUAGACAGUUUGCAUUUCGUAAAACUAAAAAAGACUAGGACACCCCCUUCUUUUGAUUUACGUUCCAUCAGUCUCAUAGAAUGGGGUAGGUAGGAGAUAAUCAGUGAUCGGAAGGCGUUCAUUUCAAUCUCUAUAAACAGUGACAAUUUCUCAAUCUAUUUGAUUGAAUUGAUAGAUACGAAACCUCCCCAUUCUUAGGAUUUUAUCAAUCAGAUGAAAAAAAAAAAAAGAUUUAUACUUGACGUCUUCAACACGCCACCUCAAGUGCGAGCCUGAUUCUCUUUUAUGAGUCAAGCAAACAGUAAAUCUUCUUGAUAGAUGGUGACAAAGAGAUUUGAAUGAAGAACCAUAUUGAAUUGUGUUACUAUAUAUCUCAUCUAAAAACUUAAAACUAUUUGAUUUUUAUUUAAUUAAUUAUGUCUUCAACAGUCUCAAUCAAAAUUGGAUAUUGAUAAAAUUGGGAUUAGCAAAAGGAACAAUAAAAACUGUGUUCACCUGCAGGUGGCGGAGCUUCCAACGGCACAUCCACGAAGAAACGGGAAAUUUCAUAACGGAAGUUGCACCUAAUCCCUAUGAUUCUUCCACCGGUCUUUCCCAGGCAGGGACAUUGAGGCAAGGUUCCAUAAGCGUCAGUUAAGCAAUUGAAGCAACUCUGACGAGAUAAAUCAGGAGUACACUGCACAAGUGCAUAUAUAGACUGAGAAUCUGGACCUGUCGCAUUACCACUAGCAUAUUUUUGAAGAGGACCACCCUGUGCAGCACGGUCUCGUAAAUUUUCCAAUAAUUUUCUUAGCUCCUGGUUAAAUUCCUCGGGUUUUGAAGCAUUCGCAGGAUUCCAAAGAAAUAAUUGAAUAGACAACGAUGGAGUAUCUAUAAUGGAUUGAUUCGAAUACUGUAACAUACAUUCAUCAUAGCCACCGAAAACUUCUUUUUGGUUAGGACAUAACUGUGCAAUCUUUUGAACAGCAUUAUCAACACAAACGCGACAAUCAUCUAGCUCCACAUCUCCUCUACAUAACACAAUAACGCUGGCUCUAUCAGAGUUUUGGCCAAUAGAAGCAUUGUAGAAACCGUAGUUAUCUAUUUUUGAGGAAAGGGAAGUGAGGAGUGUGUUUAGAUUGUUCUUGUAGGUACUAUUCUCAGUAUAGUUACCAUUCUUACCACAUAUACCGAAUCGUAAAUCAGGCAGCUGCGCUACAAUAUUGAGAACAUGUAAAUGCAAAAAUAGAAAGAAUAACCACUUUUGAAUAGCCAUGGCUAUGUCUGUUUAAGUUACAAGCAAGUUUUGAUAUUAGUGCAGAAUAUGUAAAAUAGAACCUAGAGCAGGAAGAGCUUGUAAAAAGAGUUGGAGAUAGCGUAUUGACCGGGGUGUAGCGAACUUCAUUUGUCUUGGCAGUACAAUUUCUGACAUAUUAGUUAAGCAAGAAAAGGACAUUGAUAUUUGAAGGUUAGCUGCAAAACUAACACUCGGUUGGAUUGGAUUCAAAUUUUAAAAGAAAAAAGAGCUUUUAAAAUUAUUAAUAAUCUUAAAUAUGCAGUAACAUUUAUCUUAUAUAAUAAUAAAUGUAUGGUUGUUAAAGUAUAAAAUGAAAUUAUUUUUAGAUACUCCCUCUGAGCAGUUUUAAUUGUUAUUUUGCGCUUUUCAAAAGUCAUUUUCAUUAUUUUUUAAAGUUAAAUUAAAUUACAUUAAUUCAAUAUUUUAAAUAAAAAAUUUAGAUAUUCAAAAACUAUACAAAUAAUACUAUAAAUUGCAACUUUUUGUAUAUCAAUAUAAUAAAAAUAUAUCAUAAAAUGUUAAUCAAAACUCUUAUCGUUUGACUCUAAAAAAAACCAUGAUAUUUAAAAAUGGACUGAGGGAGGGAGUACAAAAUAUAAGAAAAUAUCAAAUUUCUUUUUGAAAAACUAAUUGAUGUAGUUCUUUUGAAAUAAUGUCACAUGGAAUUAAUAAGGAAUAGUACAAACUUUUGACUUGGUCUAUAUCUUUUGGGUUGAAUAAUUGACUUUUAAGGGUGCAUUUGUGAAUAUUUUUGAAAUAUAUCUUUUCUAGAGAAAUAAUUCGGAGGAAAAUGACGUUUCUUAUAAAUGAAAAAUAUGCUUUCUAGAGAAAUAAUUUGGAGGAAAAUAACUUUUCUUAUAAGGAAAAAAAAAUAAUGAUGAAGAAGGUUAUAUUCACUUUCCUAAUGUGAUGAAGAAGCUUAUAUUCAUUUUUCGGAGCCGAGAGGAUAAUAUUUUUCCUCUAAAAAUAUAAAUGGUAAAUCAAUUUAUUUUAAUUAACAAAGCAAAAUUGCUACUGAGGGAACAAUAUCUUUUAACGUCGUGCACACCGUUAAAAACAUCAUUUAAAAUCGUUGCUGGCCCGAUUUUGUCCAAAAAAAAACAUUUAAAAUCAAAAUGGCUGCAGGAAUUUUUUUUAAAAGUAAAAUCAUUGCCUCAGCAGCGUUAUUCUAAAAAAAUAAAAAGAUUUCCUCUAAAAUUGCUACGCAGCGUUUUCUUAAAAAUAAAAUAAAAUUUAUAGCAAUUUUAAUUUAAAAACUGAAAUCGCUGCAAUGGCAGCAAUUUUCCGAUUUUUUUUUUUAAAAUUAUCGCUGCUUUGGCAGCAAUUUUCCUUAAUGUUUUUUUUUUAAAAAAAAAUGAAUAAUGCUGCUGAGACAGCGAUUUACAAUAAAAAAAACUAAGGUCAUGCACGACAUUAAAAGAUAUCGCACCCUAGGUAGCGAUUUUGUCGUUUUAGUUUUUUAAAAAAAAUUGAUAUACCAUUUAUGUUUUUUGAGGGGAAAAAAUUACCCUUUUAACUCCGGACUCGAUUUUAUUAGGCCAAACCACUUUUGGGCCUAGUCUUGUAUAACUCUGUUUGAAUUUUAAUAAUAGCAACUUUCACAUAUAGCAAACACAAAAAUCAUAUUUGUAUGUUAUAGCUAUAGUUUGCAUAAUUGCGCUCUAUAUCAAACAUGCUAUGACUAUUUCACUAUACAUAUAUACAAAAGAAGCUAGGUUAUGUUGAUAUAUAUAUAUAUAUAUAUACACACACAAAAGAAGCAAUUGUAUAAUUCGCUGACUCCUAUUAAGAUUUGUAUAAUUUCGUUGGCAGCCUCUCAAUUCAAUUUUAUGUGUUUGUACAUUUGUAUACAAUUUGAAUUUUUAUACAAUUGAAUCGAAAUAAAACAUUUGUAUAUCAAAUAUCGCACUCUCUCUCUCACAUUAUAUAAACAUAAAUUAUACAUUGUAUUUUGUUUAAGUUGUGUUUGUAUAAAGCGAGAAAGAGAGAAAGGCAAAAGAGAACUGGGCAGGGAAAUAUUUGUAUUGUAUAAUUAUAAGUGUAUAGGAUGAAAAUAUAUGUAUUUGCAUGUGUAUAUACAAUUUUCUCUCUCUUUAUAUAAACAGAACACAAUUUAUACAUUUCUGUUUGUAUAAAGCGAGAGAGGCGAGGGAGAGGCUAGCGAGCGAGAAUUUCAGGGAGAGAGGCGACUGACCACAGUUUGCUACGGGACACAAUUAAAUCAAACUAUGGUUAUAGCAUUUAAUUUGAAUUAAUAGUUUGUCAUUAUAUACAAUUUCCCUUUUAAUAAAGGGCUUAAUGCCUGACUUUUAUUAUUUUUUUAAAAUAAAAAUAAUAAUAAAAGUAAACAAAAAUCGAGUUCUACAAGUGAUACUUCAUAUAGAUUGUGUUAUUUUCACCCUUCAACGUAUCUCAUAGUUACCCAUCUUCGAUACUCGAUAGCACGUUCAAGACUUAACUCUGUUUGCAUUUUAAUAAAGUGCUUAAUGCUUGACUUUUAUUUAUUAUUUUUAAAUAAUUUUUUUUUAUAAAAGUAAGCAAAAAAUCGAGUUCUACAAGUGGUUCUUCAUAUAUAUUGUGUUAUUUUCACUCUCCAAUAUAUCUCAUAUUUACCAUUUUUUAUGCUCGAUAGCACCUAUCUACCCACCAUACCGUCCUUACAUUAUAUAUUAUUUGUUUAAACUAUAUAUAAAUAUUUUUGAGAUGAUAUUUUUUAUUUAUACACCAAACACAAAAUAAUAAAAAAACACAUUUAUCCUUUUAAAUAAUAUUUACGCACAAAAUAGUUCCAUUCAUACCAAACAUACCCUAGAUCAAUUAAUGGAAUUUCCACGACUCUAAUUUAUGGCAGUAAAUGAUGUGAGAUGAGUGGAUAAUAACAAGCCAUCAAGGUGGGAAAAUAAUGACCGCUUCUUGGUCAUACAGUAUGCUAUAUUCUUCGAUUUUCUAGGUGAAGUUAAAGUUGCUCACUCCGUCUCCGUUCCGUUUUAGUUGUUAUGGUAAAGGUUUGAUACAUUUUUAAGAAAAAAAUAAUAAGAAAUGUUUAUUUAAUUAGUAAUAUAUUUCUUAUUAGUUAGUCUUAAUAUGAGAAUAAUUAAUGUUUAAAACAAAAUUAAAGAAAGAUAAUUAAUUUUUGAAUAUACAUGACAAUUAAAAAAGACAAAAAUAGUAUUGGUUAAUUUAUAUAUUUUUAUCUGUUUUCUAACUUUAGUAUUAUUUUUUAAUAUUAUUUUGUUUUGUUCCCUUACUUCUCAUUAUGCCAUCUUUACUUUGUACUAUAGUUUUUUUAUAUUAUUUUUCUAUUUUGCGUAUUUAUGUUAUUAUUCUAACUUUUUAAAAAUUAUAUUCCUAAUUAAAGAAAGGAAAUUUCCGCAAAUAACCACUAUAAUACACUUAAUUAUGCAUCAUAGUUAUAGUUUGCAUAUUUACGAGCUGUAGCUAUAGUUUAAGUUGUCUCGUUUGUAUAAUUUGUGGGUGAGUUUACAUAAUUCGCGGGAACAUUUGUAUAAUUGGGCUAUUUUUUUUAUAUAAACUCAAAAUAACGAAUUUAUACAAACACAAACAUCUGAAUUUUAAAUAAUUAUACAAAUGGAGUAUACAAAAUUACAGUAUACAAAAGUUAUAUAAAUUUCGAAUUAUACAAAUGUGCAAAUUAUACAAAUUCGAAAUCCCAGCCCACGUAAUUAUCACUGAAUAUUGGUUGCGAGAGAUAAUUAACUAACUAAUAUAUGUUUGUUUAAUCAUCUAAUUUUUCCAUUGAAGAAAGAAUGAGUCAUCUAUAAACUUGACGCAUAUUAAUGGGCGACGUCAAAUUCCUUGAUUUAUUAGUCAUUAUUAUUAAUUAUACACACCUAUAUUUACAAGAUUUUAAAAAUAUAUCUAUUUUGUUUUAAAAUAGUUCACUGUGGUAAUAAGACCAUCCUAAGGUAUAAAUUACUUUUUUAUCAAAUAUUUGAACAAUGCUACUCAUAAAUUAUGGUUGUUGUUUUAUUUAAAAACAUAUCUUUGGACUGGUUUUAGAGUCGCCACUUAAUUUUGAAAAAAAUCAAGAAAACUGAUUUUCAAUAGAUUAAAACAAGAAACCAAUUGAUAAUACUUAAGGGGGGUUCAAGGGUUCCUAUUAAUAUUCUAGGAAGGUUUUUAAAGCACCUAGAAUAUCCGCUAAUGCGGUUAUCCGACAACUAAUUUAUUUGGCUAAAAUAAUUUUAACUUAGCUUGACUUGCAAAAUUGAACUAUUUUGUUACUUAGGACCAUUUUAAGGGAGAAAAUGGAAUUAUGAAAUAUUAUCUAAGCGAAAUAUUUGUAAACUUAUUCUUUAAGUUUUGUUAAGAAAUGACCGAUUUAGUUAAAUUGUUAAAUCAAAAUGAAUGUCUCUCGAGAAUUUGAAUUUUUCAACCUUAAGAUUUGCAACAAAUAUUAACAAGCACGCAAACACAAUAAAAUAAAGAGGAAAAGAAACUCGGGCCCAAGUUUGGUUUUUUGUCCGCCUGGACCAAUACUUGGGCCUAUUUCGUUUAUGGGCCUUUGGCCCAUUUAAGUCACCUGCACCUGUCCUGAACAAACAAGUAUAACAAAUAAAUAGGCUUAGGCCCAAAAUAACAAAAUACAAUUCCCAAAAUUAAGAGUGGGCCUUUGGCCCGAUCUUUCAAUUCUCCUCCGCUUUCGCAUUCUACCAACUUCGAGACCUGUUCGUCGAUCCUAUAGCUCGAAAAUGGGGCUAACUCGAUAGGAAACCAAGUCGGAUAUGUAGGAGUGGUGUACAAAAUAGACUCGGGUAAAUGUCACAUGCAUAAAGAAAGGGAUGGUAAGAAUUAGUCAAAGGCAAAUGACAUGGAACAAAUAAUAAAUUAAUGAAAGAACUUUGUCAAAAAUUCAGAAUAUGAAAAUAAAAUAAUCGAUAUGCCGGGGAUAGCUAAGGAAAAUAGAACAAAUUCCAAGGUGAAUGACUAUUUUUAGCAAAUUCUCACGGCGUAUGACUAUUUUAGCAAAUUCGAACAUAAUUAAAUAAAGCACUUUGAUUCUUCUUCCAAAAGACUAUGAGAAUUGACUCCAAAACAGGACAAACUCUAAUUGGUAGCUUGACUUAUAAUUGAAAGCUUGAUUAAUUUGGAAAGAAAUAUUCCUACAAUCAAUUCUCUUUGAAAGUGUUCAUAUUUGUUUGUAAAAAAUUCUAAAAAAAGUUUUUUUUUUUUCUUUUAAGGGAUGAAUUAGUGAGAUUAUCUUUUUAUUCGUGAUUUAUUAAGCACCAUGCAAAACGAAAAGUGAUCAACUAAUAUAAGACUGAGGGAGUAUUAGUUAUGAUAUUAUUUAAUCUUUUAUGUGAUACACAACAAACUAUAGCAUUAGCAAGACAGGGGCAACUAUCACGUGAUAAACAUAAUUAAAGACAAAAUGGUUAUCAAUGCACCCAGUCAAAUAAUUUCAAACAUAACUAACUUCAGUAUUACCAAUACACCUUAUUUAGUAUUAUUCUUAUACUCCACUAAUGAAUAGAACGACCAAAACAUCUAAAAUAAUAAUUAACAGAAUAAUUGUUAAGAUCUAAAUACACCUUAUACAAUAAUAUUAUUAAUAUAGGCUCUGUAAAUAAUCUCAGAGAUAAAAGAUACUCUACUAAUAAAAUAGGACAUACGAAACAUUUAGCAUCAGAAUUCAAAAGAAAUAUACAAGAUACUAUUAUUUUAUUUUAUUUUUAAAUAAAAAAAAAAAUAAAAAAAAAAUAAAGCUUUAUGCAGUGUGUUCAAACAGUUUAAGAAAAUAAGUUAAAUAUGUCAAUUGUAAAAAUAUUAAACUUUAUGCCUAUUUAGGAAAAAUACAUACAAAUACUCAACAAGUAUAGAUUAUUUUAAACAUUUGCAAUAUACAACAAUAAUAACAUUCAAUUAUUCUUCUUAAAUUAAAAUGCAGAUCAUAUAUUUUGAAAGUAUAACGACACAUGUUGAAGUUUCUUAUUAAAUUGAAAUAUUUAUUUACAUUGACAAUUUCAUUAUGCUAUUAUAAUCAAGAAAAAUCUUAGACAUGAAAAUAAAAUAAAAUACCCAAACACUAAUCUACUCAAAUUUUUUGUUUAUUUAUUAUUUUAUUUUUAUUUAAAAAGAAAAAAGAGAAUACACUUUCUUGAAGACAACCUUAAAAACCAAUGAUGUAAGUCAAACAAAUAAGUAAAAUGUGGCAUCAAGAGAUUUCCAAUAAGGCGAAAUCAACUGCAUGAAGGCUAUACAGACAUACGACCUAUAAUCAGACCUCUAAGCACUAAGGAAACAAGAGAAGUAGUCAUAUUUUGCAUAAAAAGAAAGAAGUCACCAUAAAGAAAACAAAGAACGAGUUACAUUCACCGGGCAGACAGAAAACUACGAGUAUGAGGAGCAAUCAAAGCAUUGACCACGGAAAGCAAGUCAUCAAAUCGAUUCCGAACGUCAUAGAGCGAACACGACUCAACAUUUGAAGGGAGUAAUAUCGAUAUUCUGCUCAUAUUUAGGCAUAUACCAAGAGACAUGAACAUUUCUAACAGAGAAUGAGAUCUUUAAAAAAAAACUACUUGUGUGAGAUCAUAAUAGACAUACAAAGAUCGAGAAAAAAAAAGGUAGCUAUAAACAAAGCAAAUACGAGAUUCUCACCUCCUUUUGGGCAGCGAAAUGGAGACCAAACGAGAAGGUGACGACUUCCGAUUCUCAAUACAAAGCUACAACGAAAAGUUCCGGUGAAAGCUUCAAAGAAAAAACUCUGAAUUUGAGACUUGGAUCUUUGACUAUUUUUAUGACUCUCUCUUUUAAAAAUAAAAUGAAAUAAAAUAAAUAAAGACAAAAUAUAUGUUUCUAUAUUUCUCCCCCGUAUCCAAUUUCCCCUUCACUCUUUCUCAAUCUUUUCUUCUAACCCAAAAUUUUCAACUCCCAAAAAAAAAAAUCCCCCUCCCCCCAGUGAACAGAAGCAAAUAUAUAGCCAGGAACUAGGGUUCGGAAAUUUUAGGGGGGAAAAGGGAUCAAAAAUCCGAAUAGAAAAGGCCCAUCUCGAAAUUCAAAUUCGAAAAAUCUUUCACCAUUUUGGCUAAACAUACUUUUUCUCACAUUUCGUCCCAUUCCGGAAGGGGAAAAGGGGAUAGAUGGACUCGAUCCGUUCAAUCGUCCCGGACGAGCAACGUGGAGCGAUCUCACGCCAGGAGGACGAUUCACGUUGCUGCUACUGAUGCUUUUUGCCGCAAAACUCGGCUAGAAACAGUACUAUCGAGAGGGAUGGGAGGAAGAAGACAAAGGAGAUGCAGUACUACCCUCUGUUGCUGCUUUUCGUUUGCUUUACUGUUUAUCUUCCUUUGGAGUCGUUUGAAAAUUAAUGUUUUUGUUGCUUUCCGCGUGUGUUGCCGCUUUGAACAUUGGAGUUGUUGACGUUUUGUUGGGAAUUGUAAGGGAAAGGGGAUGGGGUCAGCUGGUACUGCUUGUUGUAUGUAUGUAUUGUAUUGUUAUAUGUAAUGUGGGUUGGGGAAAUGGGUCGGGUAGAGGGAUUAUUUAGAAAGGAAAUGGGCUGGCAAUUAAGGGAGAUGGGCCUGUUGGUGCUGCUGUACAUGCAUGCUGGAAAUAGUAUUGGGCUGCUGAAAAGUGGCCCAAACUUUGGUCUUAAAAUGGUUUUAAGGUGAGGUUAAAGAUGGGUUCGAUCUUGGAGUUUAAGAAAUAGCCGAAUUGAGUUAAAUUAACAAAUUCGGCUAAAUCCUAAGUAAGAUGGAUUAACAUUAAUUAAUUAACGAGCUUCUAAAUUUUAAUGAAAUAGAAUAAUUAAUUUAAUUGCAAACCAAUAAUUUAAAAUUAUAACCAUAACUUGAACUAGACUAAUUUUGUAAAAUAUUUAAAAUAACAUUUUUUUUUGUGAGACGAUUUUCGAGUAUCCAUAAAAUAUACUAAUUAUAUAUAAAAUUACAUGAAAUAUAUUUAUCAUUCAAAGUACUAUAAAAAUCGACUGAAAUUAUUUAAAAUAACCUUGAAACUAUUUUGAAUUAUAUAAAGCUAAUUAUUCUAAGUCGUUUGAAAAAUUAAGAAGCUAGAAAAUCAAUUACUAUCGGGGAGGGUCAAAAUUGGGUGUCAACAGUUGUCAAUAUUAUUAUUAUUAUUAUUGCCAAACAUGUCAUCCAUGAUAUUUUGCUAAAUCUUUGCUCAGUUAAAAUAUUUUUUAAUCAAUUCAACUAAGCCAGUAUCAUUUAUUUUAAAACUAUAUCUUAGUUAUUAAUUUUACAAAUUGUUAAAAAUCUGUAAUUAUUCUGAAUUUCAGCUUACCCGACUCAAUAAAUAGAGGCAAAAAUGCAUUUCCAUUACUAUUGAAAAAUUACACCACUUUUACAAGUUCAAUAAGUACUAGCAAAUUAGUCCAACAAAAAAAAAAAUCAUUGAUAAAUCAAUCACAAGAACCCCUAACUAAUUGGGUCCGAACAAAUAGCAAAGUAAAUAAGAAAAUCCAUUAAGUAAAAACAUACAUGCAUCCAGUGUUUACACCAGGUCUAUAAAUGAAUGAUAUACAUUUGCAUAUACAUAGAGAGAGAGAUGUAUGGAUGUUUUAUCGAGGAUGCAGCUCAGUUAUCAAAUCCUGAUUUCCUGAAGAACAUAUUGAUUUACUUUCCGUUAGUUUGCUUGACGCGGAAAUUGUUGAAUUGACAUCUCCAAAGUGUAAAAUCUGUGGGUUUACAUCGUUGUGUGGAACUGGAAGACUCAAAGAGCGACUACUGAGCAUGAGAAGUACUUCACCCAUGUUUGGUCUAUUAGCAACAUUUUCUUGAACGCACAAUAAAGCAAUGUGGAUGUAUCUCACUAUGUCACCAACAGGUCCCGAGCUUCCCCUCAGCAUAGGGUCUAUCAAAUUUGAAACUGUUUCUUCGCGCCAGUUCAACCAAGCCUGUGAUAGAUGAGGCCACACAAAAUCAUUAAUUAUACUAUCUCUGAUUCACAUUAUGCGUUCCUCUUGAGAAAGACAUUUGAUGGCAUUGUUUAUACAAAGUGUUUGUCUAAAAUUAAAACAAAAAUUGCCUGACUUCUCUAACAAGGUAGUGUACAUUUAGUUAGGCACAAUUGGAGAAAGAUUUGAUGCGUAAACUUUUCUUAUGAUGAAGGGGUGUAUGAAAGGAAUUAAUUCGUCAUAAGUUGGGAGAGGGGACAAAAAUAUGUAUUAAGCCAAAGUUAUAUGACUAUUCAUCUCGACUUAUACUACUUUUAGGGACAAUCAAGUUAGCUCAACCAAAUUGAGGUAACCAUUUCUCAAGUCCUGGUAACAUUUCAAGGAAAGAUUUGUUUUAAUAUCGAGGUUUUUAUUUUCUAAAAAUGAUUAAAGAAUGCUUCGUAUAAUGAUACAAAAAAUAACAGUCUAUCUAGUGAGAGAUGUUAAACUUACUAAGUCCCAACAAUUCUGUUUGUGUUGCCUUGUGUUUCAUCCAAUGUAAAUAGUCUUGCCAUGCCAAAGUCUGCAAUUUUAGGAUUCAUCUCUGCAUCAAGUAGAACAUUACCAGCUUUGAGAUCGCGAUGAAUGAUGCGAAGUCUAGAAUCCUCAUGAAAAGAAAAACACACAGAACUAUCCGAGUCCACAGAACCCACUGUGUGUCCUUAAGAAAUUUAAUCCCCUCAAGUACCCGAGGUUGCAGAUUAAUUCCUCCCAAGAUAAAACGGAUUAACCAUUAAAGAAGUAGCGGUACCUCAAACUUCAAUAAUUUCAACGAACUCAAAAUGACACUUUCCCAAUUCAUAGUUGUGGACUUAGUUUUCCGGAAUUAAAAUAAGGCAGAUAACCAUACUACAGUCAACAUGUCAAAUUACACUGACAAAAACAUUAAGCAAUACAUACCAAAUAAAAAUUAGGUCAAGGCUUGCAUUGGGAACAAAUUCAUAGACAAGAAGUCUCUCUGUUCCAUCUAGGCAAAAUCCCAGUAAUCUAACCAAAUUCCUGUGCUGAAGCCUGGCUACCAACAAGACCUCGUUUUUGAACUCUAGAUCACCUUGGCCUGAAUCUGCUGACAAUCUUUUCACUGCUACUUCUUGUCCAUUUUGAAGCUUACCCUGAAACAUAAUACGAGAGCAAAUUGAAGAAUCAAUUAUUAUAAGCUCAUCAACAACGAAUCCUCAACCCCAAGCUAAGUUGUGGUUUUGUGGUAUGAAUUGUCAAUGUCCAUUUUAUGCAUCAAGCAAGUCUAAUCACCUUAUACACAGGACCAAAUCCACCCUGUCCCAAUUUAUUAGCAUUUGAGAAGUUGUCUGUUGCUUCUCUAAUUAUAGAAAAAUCAUACUGCAAGGAUUCUACAUCGCUAAUAUCAUCCCCGAGUGUACCUUCACCAAAGUAGUAGUAAUAACAAAUACAGUAUAUAGUGAAGCAUGUUCUUAAGAAAAUUCAACUUUCCUUAAAUCAUAGAAAUACAAUACGUUAUCUUACCUUGAAUUUUAUCCACUUCCUCUUUCGCUUCUUCGUUAAGAUGACAGAAAUACAUACAAUAAGAAUAACAACUGUAACAGUAGGCACAAUGAUAAUGAUGAUGAGUGAAUCUUUUGUAUCAUCCUUCACUAUCGGAACUGUUUUAGUAUCAUUCCCCGUUGGAGCUGUUUUAUCAUCAUUUCCUUAAAAAAAAUGCUUCAAGUUAGUAUAAUAUUCUCAGUUUUAACUAGUAAAAUUUUGUGUUAUGAUGGUGGCGAUGAACUGUGUGAUAUUCUCAUCUAAAAUUUUAAGUUGUUAGACGACAUAUCAUAUAUUUAACCAUCUUGUUAUAGGUUAUAUUAAAUUAAAUUAAAUUGUUAAAUAAGGUAAUUAAACUUAUACUAGUAUCUACUUAGGUACAGUACAUAUGUCUUCAAAUCAAAGUGGAAAGAUGUAAUUUACGUGCACAGGGUCGACUCAACAAGAUCGGGAGCCUAAAACAAAACUUAAGGAAGGGGCCCUAAUAUAUAUUUUUUCACCAUGUAUAGUUUUAUUUAAAAUCUACUUUUCUAGCUUGAUUUUUUAGAUGUGAAAUCAUUAGUUACUAUUUUAUAAUUGAUUUGUUUUAAUAAUUCUCUUUCAAUUGAUAAUAUAGACAAUCGAUUCAUUCUCUCUUGAGAAAUUGUUGACCUUAGAUUUAAUCAAUUUUAGUUUCGAAAAACCUCUUUCGGCCGAGGCAACGGUUAGAAAACUGUUAACAUUAUUCUAUAAGUUAUAUAUGUGUAUUUGGAAAAGAAUCAAGUUUUUUAUUUAAUUGAAUGUUUUCAUUAGAUCAUUAUCUUCUACUUACAUUAUUUCUCAUUAUCUAGUGAUCUCAAUUUACCACUAAAUAAGAAACAAAAAAUAUUUUCAUAUGCUUCAAUUGGUUCAAAACUAUUUUGAAGUAAAAAAAAUUGCUUGAUCUACUACACAUACACACACACUAUAUAUAUAUAUAUAUAUAUAUAUAUAUAUAUAUAUUGUGAUUUCAUUAUCAAUAUUUUCUAUAAAAAUUUUCUUACUAAAUUCAGGUUCUAUAUUUAUUUCAUAUGUAAUUUCUUUAAUAGAAAUCAUAACAUUCACGAUACAUAUAAUUAUUUUUAUAAAAAUAACAUUUAUAAGUAAGUUUUUAAAAUAAAUGGGGCCCCACCAAAAUAUGAGAUGCCAAGCAAUGACUUUAAUGGCUUAGGGUUAAGACGGUACCUGCAGGUGGGAGUGGCACAUCGAAGAAUUUGGAACUUUCAUAACGGAGAUUGCACCUAGACACAAUGAUUCUGCCACCGCUCUUGCCGUAGCAGGGACAUUUAGGCAUAUUUUCAUAAGCCACAGUUCAGCAUUUGAGGCAAUUCUGAGGAGAUAAAUCAGGAGUACACUGCACAAGUGCAUAUAUAGACUGAAAAUCUGGACCUGUCGCAUUACCAGUAGCAUAUUUUAGUGAGGAACCACCUUCUACAGCACGAUCUCGUAAAUUUUCCUGUAAUUUACUCCGUUCCUGUUUAAAUUCCUCGGGUUUUGUGGCAUUAGCAGGAUUCCAAAAGUAAUAUUGAAGAGAAAAUGAUGUAGUUUCUAAAAUGGAUGAAUCAUUCGAGUACUGCAACGAACAUUCAUCAUAGCCACCAAUAGCUCUUUUUUGGGUAGGAAAUAACUGUACAAGUUUUUGAGCAAUGUUAUAGACACAAUUGCGACAUUGUUCUAGCUCCACAUCUCCUUUACAGAGCACAAUACCACUGACCUUGUCGGUGCUUUGGCCAUCGGAAGCAUAGCUGAAACUAUGGUUAUCAAUUUUUGAGGAAAGGAAAGAGAGGAGUGAGUUAAGAUUAUUCUGGUAUGCACUAUUUUCAGUAUAGUUACCAUUGGUACCACAUGAACUGUAACGUAAAUCAGGAAGCUGCGACGCCGAUACAAUAUUGAGAACAUGACCGUGUAUAUGCCAAAAAAGAAAGAGUAGCACCUUCUGAAUAGCCAUGGUCAUGGUUGUCUAACUUGCAUUUCCAUUUGUAGAAGCUUAGAUAUUUUGACAUCAAAGGUAAAAUGAGUUGGCUUUUAUUUUUAUUUUUAUUUUUUUAGCUUAAAAAAACAUGCAUCAGGUCAUUAAAUGUAGUUGUACUUAAUACUCUCAGAGGGGUCGUUUGGUGUGAAGGAUUAUACCAAAUAGUCUUGGAUAAAAUUAUAGUGAUGCUUAAUUUGUUGUUUGGUUGACAAGUCCGGGAUAACUUAUCCCGGGAUUAAUAAUUAGUACCGGGAUAAGUUAUCCCUCUCUUUGGAUGGUAUAAUAAUCCCAUCAUAAUUUAUCCUUGGAUAAAUCUAUUAAAUGACAAAAUCACCCUUCAAACCCAUUAUAUCAUCACUAUAUAUAUAUUUGUAAUAAUUGUUCCUACUAGAUUAAACUUCAUGAGUAUAUACUACACUUUGAUGCCCAGUAAGCAACGUAAUUGGUGACUCCAAGUUUGAUGUCCAUGAUUUUUCAUUUGGUCCAUGCAGGGCCGACUCAACAAGAGCGGGGGCUUAAAGUCAAACCUUAAAGAGAGGCUCUAAUAUUUUGAAAAGUAUUUUGUUUCUUCAAUCUCUUUAAUAAUUUUAUUCUUGACUUCACUUGCCAAAUAAGUUUAAUAAUUCACUUUGUAUAUUAUGUCCAAGGUAAUGACUAUAAAUUUCGUCAUGCAUAUUCUUCAAAUAUGUCUUGCAUAACUGGAUCAAAUUUAUUAUUCAUUUCAAUUAGGCUUUUAAAAAUUACCGUUACUUUCUUGAUAGAUCUUUCCAUUUGUUCCCCUAAAUGCUAAAUUAUUUUUCCAAAUAAUUUUGAACACGUCAAUCAUUCUUGACAAUACAUUUUUCAUUGCACUUUAUCGCUAUCAAUUUGUUCCUGCACAACUUUAUCAAUUGUUUUUUUAAUGCAAUCUCAUUUCUAAAUCAAUACACGAGCUCAUAUUAUUAAUAAUAUAUUCAUUCUUUACUUCAUGGACUUUGAGCUUAAUACUAAGAUUUCUCCAAUCAUUACUACCUUCAGCUAGAUACUAUUACAAAUAAUAGAAGUUUUGCUAAAUAAUUACAACAAAACAAAAAAAUUAUCCAAAUCUUUAGAGUAGAUUAAUCAUUUUCUUUCUUGCUUUUCUCCGUUUACCAAUUUUUGAAUAUAGUGUGUUGUAGAAAAAUGUCGUACGUAUUUAUCUUGUAGAAAUUUUAUAUCAGCCAUUCUAAAUGGUCCUUUUUCUACUAAUAGAUCUCUGAAUUUCGUAUCUACAUUAUUUCAUUGACUUGGAUCAUAUAUAUUUUUAGGGAUGGCAACUAUUUAAAUUAUUUAGGAGUUCUUGAUAUCGGGAACAAUUAAAUUAGGUCUUUAGGCCUAAACUCACACCCCAAAAGCUAGCUCAAAGGGAGGAGGAUUGUCCAAACCUUAUAAGUAGUCCACUCAUUUCAUUAACCACCGAUGUGGGACUUUUGUCAUUCUUUAACAUAGAAAAAUGUCGUACGUAUUUAUCUUGUAGAAAUUUUAUAUCAGCCAUUCUAAAUGGUCCUUUUUCUACUAAUAGAUCUCUGAAUUUCGUAUCUACAUUAUUUCAUUGACUUGGAUCAUAUAUAUUUUUAGGGAUGCAACUAUUUAAAUUAUUUAGGAGUUCUUGAUAUCGGGAACAAUUAAAUUAGGUCUUAGGCCUAACUCACACCCCAAAAGCUAGCUCAAAGGGAGGAGGAUUGCUCAAACCUUAUAAGUAGUCCACCCAUCUCAUUAACCACUGAUGUGAGACUUUUGUCAUUCUUUAACACCCACCUCACGCCCAGUGCUUAGCAUCUGGUGCGUGGGCAAUCAAUUUGGUAAAAUCUUUUUACUUUUCCUUUUUAGUCUAAAAAUAUUUUAUAGUAUUUAAUUUCCUUUCAAGUCUAGGGUUUACAUUAAUUGCAAAAUAUUUAGUUUUAUUUUAGUUUAGUAUCUAGAAGGAUUCUCCUUAAUUAUUUAUAAAUAGGGAUGUACUCUUCUAUUUGAAUAAAAAAAAAAGGCAAGAAUCAAUACAAAGAGUUAUCAUUCAUUCUCUCUUUAAUUUCUCUUUCUAGUUUCUUUCAUUCUAUAACAGUGGUAUCAGAGUCUUACAUUGAUCGUAAUGGAUCUGUGAGUUCGUUGAAGAAGAACUUUCAACCACUUUUAAUUCAUAUCUAUUUUCAACCCACUUUUAACCCGUGCUUUUAUUUUUAACGCAGGGCUACUUUUAACCAAUUUUUAAUCUAUAUUAUUUUAAACCUUAUUUUUCAAACCAUGACAAGCAAUACUCUUUCUUUCAAUGCCCCACAAACCUUCAAUGGUGAAAAUUAUCAAAUUUGGGCAGUUAAGAUGAAGUCUUAUCUUGAGGCUUAUGAUUUGUGGGAAACUGUAAUGGAAGAAAAACUCAUGGAAAACACAUUUGGAAAAAUUCUGUUGGUGGAGAUCUGAUGCAGUAUGCGGAAGUUGCAAACAAACAGGUCAUGUUACAAAAGUGUGCAAGUUCAAAGACACUCAAGAUAAAUCACAAGCAUUACUAGUAGAAGAAGAAUGUAAGGAUGAAUUUUAUUAGAAGAUAUUUUUGAAGAAUAAUUAUGUGUUCAAACUCAAGUUAGAUAUACCAACUUGAGUUUGAGGGGGAAUGUUGAAAUUUGGUAGAAUCUUUUUACUUUUCCUUUUUAGUCUAAAAAUAUUUUAUAGUAUUUAAUUUCCUUUCAAGUCUAGGGUUUACAUUAAUUGCAAAAUAUUUAGUUUUAUUUUAGUUUAGUAUCUAGAAGGAUUCUCCUUAAUUAUUUAUAAAUAGGGAUGUACUCUUCUAUUUGAAUAAUAAAAAAAAAAGCAAGAAUCAAUACAAAGAGUUAUCAUUCAUUCUCUCUUUAAUUUCUCUUUCUAAUUUCUUCCAUUCUAUAACAGGAACAAUGUCACAUUUUCACCAACUUCUUCUAGAUUUUAUUCUUGGAUAUUAUUAUCAUCUAAAUCAAUUCUAAUGGUGACUUGUUCAUUUGAAGAACAUCCUCCAAUUAUUUUUUUAUUCGAAAUAUUUUUUAUUUGGUAAAAAUCUCUCAAGCAAUAUCUUUUAAGAUUUAUUUAAUUUCUUCAAUAAUAAUUUUCUCUCUUUUUGCAAACUCGGAAUCAUGUUUCUAGUUGACAUAUUAAAAUUGAAUAAAUUUUAAGAACAAUUAAAACAAUUUACAUAUACUUAAGAAUAUCAACAAUAAUUUUUUCUCAAGAAAAACAAUAAAACCUCUUACACGUUUUUUUCUUCAAAAAAUUAAUAUAAUUUUUUAAUAAUAUGUAUAUGUACUUUUUUUAUAAAAUGGAGGCCCCAAAAAUUAUGAGGCCCCAAGCGAUAGCUUUAGUGGCCUAGUGGUUAAGACGGCCCUGGGUCCAAGCCGUUGGGACACCAAAGUGUAGUUCAAAUAUGAAAAUGAUGAGAAUUCAUACAUAAAACUCAUACUAAUUAAUGUGGUUUGGUCACAUCUCAAUUAAUUUCUGCUGUCACAACAAAUUAUUUGUAUCAUAAUUAAUUAAUUUCUAAUCUAAACAAUUUGAUACUAAUACAACUUAAUUAAACUUGAAAAACUUAAUUAGGUUUGGUUUUUAGAGUGGACUACUGACGUCUCCAAAAUUGGUACAUAGUUGAACACAAAAAAAUCAUAAGAACACAUACAUAAAAAAGUUAAGCUAAAUAAGGUGGAUAAUUUGUUUUUAAGAUUGAAAUAUUUUUUCUGAAAGUUUUAAUAUGACCACACGGGUCAGACUUUUAUUGACUUAACAAAAACAACUACAACCCAAUUCCUACGAAGCUAACAGUAAACAAAAAACAAAUAAAUUUGAAAUAUCUGGGAAGUUAACUAAAGCUCUAUCAAAAAAAUAUACAAAUAGUUAAAUAAGGUAGAGGGUAUUUUUGUAAACAAACAACUUAAUUUAGAAAGUAUCCAAUGAAUAUUAUUUUUAAUACUACAAACCAAACAAUCAAUAAAAAAUAAUACGAGGAUAACAAAUCUCAUCAUAACUAAUCACAGCAUAACUUAUCUCAGCAUAACUUGUAUUCAAACCAAACGACCCCUCUCUAUAUAACAAUAGUUAUCCACUAUUAAUUUAGAAUAGAGAUUAAAAAAUAGUAAAUGAUAGAUAUAAUUUUACCAAAUUAUCCUUAUUAAAUACUUUUAUAAUUACUUGUCCAUUUUUGAAGUGAUACACUUACUAAGAAAACAAUUACUGACAUAGUGAGUUUAUCAUUUUACCCCUAUUUAUUAUGAAGUGGAUGGAUUAAAAAAUUAAGAUUUUCAAGAAAUUUUACCUUUUUCAAAUUAAUUAAUUGAGGAUAUAAUAGGUAAAAUUAUUUUGUCAUUUCUUAAUUUGUCAAAAUAGACAAAUAAUUAGGGACAAGUAUAAAAGAAAAAAUGGACAAAUAAUUAGGGACAUAGAGAGUAUAAGUCUUUUAAACAUUGAAAAAUGAACAUUUAAAAAUAAGUAUAAAAUAGACAUAAAAUAAUAAAUCAUUCAUUAAUUUUAUAAACUAAACCAGAAUUAUCAGACAUAAAUCACUUUGUGGCUUAAGUGACCUUUUGAGUGAAUUGACCUAGUAAGAGAUAAAAUUUUGAUGACUUGGUCUAUAUCUUUGGAUUUGCCAAAUUUUUCUCCUUAGAAAAUAUGAAAUUCGUAGACUCUAAUUUAUGGGGAUAAUGGGAAUUGGGACAGGAGUGGAUACCAAGAAGCCACCAAGGUUGCAAAUUUUGACCGCUACUUGCUCAUCAACUUUAUAUGAUUACUCCAGAAAAUGAAAUCCAACUAAUUUUCUACAAGUACCAUAUUUUCGUUUUUUUUUCCUAGUGUUUUAAAUUUUAAUCCACAAUGAUUUCUUUAGAAUUUUGGGGAACUAUUCUCUGUUCUUAAUUACUUGUUUAUUUUUAAAUUGACACACUUAUUAAGAAAAUAAAAAUUGACAUAGUGAGUUCACAAUUUUACCCCUAUUAAUUAUGAAGUGGAUGAAUUAAAAACUUCAGAUUUUCAAGAAGUUCUAUCUUUUUCAAAUUAAUUAAUUGAUUGUAUAAUAAGGUAAAAAAAAAUGUUAUUUCUUGAUUUGUCAAAACUGAAAGUAAUUAAGGAUAACUAUAAAAAAAAAAAGGAUAAGUAAGUAGGAUCAGAGGGAGUAUGUCCUUAUAUCUUCUCUGUUGCUCUUCAGAUCAUACACUUAAAUAUUUGUGAAAUUUCCAACAAAGCGGUGUCAUCAUCAACUUGGGAAGAAUUUUUUUUUGAAAGAUCCUAAAAAGGGAUCAAAGAAAAAAGAGUCAAACUUUUGACUUGGUCUACAUCUCAAAAGUUGACAAAUUGAAUCCCCAAAGUCAACAAGUCUAAUUUAUGGGGGUGAUGGGACAGGAGAGUAUAAGAACAAGCUACCGAGGUGGAAACGUUUCUAAUUACAGACUAUUCUGUCCGUUUCAUAAUAGUUGGCUAUCUUAUUAAAAUAUAUUUAUUUUGAAUUAUGUGUCUAUUUAUUAAAUUAAAAUAAAAUUAAUUUUAAAAAAUUCAUUCUACCCCUAUUAUUAGUACUUUUUGAAAGCCUAAAUAAAUUUAGAAUUUUUUUAAAAAAUAAUCAAGAGUUCCUUAUUUUGUAUCUAUUCUAAUGAUAUAUAUUUAUGUGCCCUAUCUUAUUUAUUAAAUAUAUUUUUCAUGAAUUAUCGUAAUGUACAUUAAUAAAAAUAAAGAAAAAAUUAAUUAUCUGAUAUGUAAGUUCUCAAACACCACAUAAAAUAAAGACUUAAGUCAUACGGAGGAGCCCCUUAAAGUUAUUUGCAUAUUUCACUUGAACACUUCAAUUAAGACUUGUAUGAUUGAAUACUUUUAUUAUUCAAAAUAAGCAUCUAUUAGACAUUUUUCGUUGACAUAUCAAAGAAUGUGCAAUACACAUUUAGUGAGUGUGUGGAGGGAUAUUUUAGCUUCUUCUUUUUUUAUCUCUUUCUUCUUCUUUCUUUGUCUCUUUCUUCUUCUUUUUUUCAUAGCCAUAACUCUUCCAACACCACCACCACCAUCCCGCCAUUGCCGCCGCCUCCCCCCACCAUCAUCUACCCUUUUCUUCUCUCUUUUCUUCACCCACCUCUCCCUCUCCCUUACCAUUGUCGAUUUCAUCUGGAGAACACCAUUACAUUUCCUCCUCCAUUUUCUUAAAAUUUGGCAGUCAUUAUCAUCUUAUUCACCGGAAGAAAAAUGGAUACCCACACUAUCACUACUCUAUUCCUCCCUCCCUUUGUUCUUCCUGAAAAAUAAAUAUCUAAACCCAAAUGUAUCAUAUUUUUAAAAAAAUCAGAUCUGGAAAAAUUAAUAGUUGAAUUAAGAGGAACGACGACGCCGAUGACGGUGAGUGGACGGUGAUAGUUUGAAUAAAGGAGCUGCACAUUUUUUCUUCACCCCUUGACCUUUAUGAAGUUUUGAACCUGCUCAAUGAUUAGUUAAUUAUAAAUCUCUCUAUACUCCAUUAAUAUAAGAUUGAAGUUGUGAACGAGUAAAAUUCUUUAGCUCAACACAGUUAAAGACGAAACAUAGUGAAUGAAUUGAAGGUCAUUCAUGGUUUCAAAAUAGAUGUUUUUUUUUCCUCAAAAUUCCAUAUGUAUGUCGUUAAUUCGUUAAUUUGUCAUGUCACCGCGAGUGUAUUACACAUAUAACACUUUUAACUGAUGGUCAAAAAAGUGUUCAAAUGGGUAAAAAUGUUCAAUAGGUACCAACCUUAAUUGUGGUGUUCAAAUGAAAUAUGCAAACAACUUUAAGAUGCUCUGUAUGACCUAAGCCUAAAAUAAAAGAUAAUCAAUCAAUAUGAAACGGAAUGAGUAAAAUAUUUUAUGAUUCCAGAAUAUGAAAAGUUAUUUUGGCUCUUGAAAUAGUAUAUAGUUGUACGUAAUGAGUUCCUAGAAAUGGGGACUUUUUCCUUUCCUCUUGUUUUCUUUUUCCUUUUGCCCGUCCAUAAAGUUGAAAAGACGUGUGAGAUGCCCAUAUGAUGCUAUCUUACAAACCAAGCCAGUUAAAAUGAAUAUGGAUGUAUUUAGCUCAAGUUAAAUACUCCGGAUCCUUAAUUAUUUGUCCAUUUUCAAAUUGAUACACUUACUAAGAAAAUAAUAAUUGACAUAGUGAGUUUACCAGUUUAACCCUAUUAAUUAUGAAAUAGAUGAAUUAAAAACUUAACAUUUUCAAAAAGUUCUACCUUUUUCAAAGUAAUUAAUUGAGGGUAUAAUAGGUAAAAAAAAAUUGUCCUUACUUGAAUUAUCAAAAUAGACAAGUAAUUAUGGACAAUUAUAAAAGGAAAAAUGGACAAGUAAUUGAGAAAAAGGGAGUAUAACUAUUUUAAAAGGCUUAAGUCAUAUGCGGCCCCUUAAACUUGUCUGUAUAUUUCAGUUAGACACCUUAACUUAGACUUGUACCUAUUGAACACUUUAAUCUUAACAAAUUUAUACUUAUUUAACACAAAAUGAAAAUCAGUUGAAAAAUAAAAGUGGUGUGUCUCAAACACAAAUACAUAGCCGAUGGACCAAUGACGUGAUGACAUGUGGUAAUUGAAUCCAAUUUUUUUAAUCUCUAAUUAAAUCAUUCAAAAAAAAAUAAAAAAAAAUAUUUUUAAUCAACCCACCCCCAACCCCAUCUUCUCCUUCUUUUCACCCUUCCACUGGUGGAAACAGGCCGCCAACCAUACUCUCACCUUUUUAUUCUUUAACAUUGAACCUUACCAUCCAUUGCCUUUAUUUUCUUCCCAUUAAUAAUAUAAGUUAUUAUCAUAAUUAUAUAAAAAUAAUAACAAAUUUUGCCGAAAAAAAUAAUCAAUUCAUAUAUUUUUUAUCAGAAAAAAUGAAGUUUUGUUAGAAUAUUUGAGAUUUAGAUCUUUAUAAUAAUGUAUGUACAAUUUUGUUGCUUUAUUGUGGGUUUCGUUGCGCUAAAAAGUAAAAAAUUAUAAUGCAUACUCAGCAUUAACAAAUGCCCAGCAUAGGGUAAAUUUUCCAAAUUUAGUUUUUCUGUUGUCUUCAACUUUAAACUGAUUUAUAUUAUGAUUUUUAUAAAAUUUAAAAAAAAAAAAAGAGCGAAAGAAGGAGGAGAACAAUGGUUGCAGAGGAACAUUCACUACAAGAGAAGUGUGAAUUACAUGGGAUUUUCCUGGAGAUUAGUAUGAAAAUUUGCAGGAUAAUAAGUUUCCUACAAAUUUUCAUACUAAUCCACAGAAAAAUUCUCAUGUAAUUCACAAUUUUCUUAUAGUGGUUGUGGGAAGAAGACAUGCUUUCUAUUAUUUAGUUUUUUUUAAAAAAAUUUAAGUGUAUAAAUGAGAAAAUAAAAAAGGAAAAAUACUAUUUUUAGUUGCUUUACGCGCUCAAAGAGCGUGGAACACACUUUUUUUGCCAUGUCAGCAUUUUGUGUCAAAUAGGAAUGGUUUUUGAACAAAAAAAGUGUUCAAUAGGUACAAGCCCUAGUUAAAGUGUCAAAGUGAAAUAUGUGGACAACUUUAAGAGGCCGUCGAUGACUUAAACCAUUUUAAAACUAUGCAUUCGUAAUAAAAUGAGUGUUACUUUUACAUAUAAACAUUACAAUAAUUGCUAGCUAGACUACAAGUCCAAGGCACGCACUAAAAGUGGUACCAACACGUAAAAUAAGUAAACUCGGAGAAAAAAGCUACAAAUAUUUGAUUUGACUUGGUCUACAUCUAAGAAGUUGACAAAUUGAAUCAUCAAAGUCAACAAGUCUAAUUUAUGGGGAUGAUGGGACAGGAGAGUAUAAGAACAAGCUACCGAGGUGCAAAAUUAAUUUGUACUUGCUUUUACUUGAACGUUUCUAAUUACAUACAUACUUUUCCAUCCCUACUAUAAUAUAUACGAGUAGUUGGCUAUCUUAAUAAAAUUAUAUGUUCCGAAUUAUUUGUCUACUUAUUUAAUUAAAUUUAAAAAAAUUCAUUUUACUCCUAUUAUGAAUACUUUUUGAAUAUCUUAAUGUACAUCAAUAUAAAUAAAGAAUGAAUUAGAGAAAUUAAUUAUUUGAUAUAUAAUUUCUUAAAUAUCAUAUAAAAUAAAAGAUAAUCAAUUAAUAUGAAACUAAAUAAGUAACAUUUUAUAUGAUUUUAGUAAAUGAAAAGUUAUUUGGCUCUUCAAAUAGUAUAAAGUGGUAUGGAAGAAGUUCCUAGAAAUUGAGACUAUUUCCUUUCCUCUUGUUUUCUUAGUUAAAUAACUACUCAUUUUAAAACUAUGCAUUGUAUUAAAAAGAGUGCUACUAUUACAUAUAAACUUUAUAAUAAUUAUUGUUAGCUAGACUACACGUACACUAAAAGUGGUACCAACACAUAAAAUAAGUAAACUCAGAGAAAAAGGUUAUCAUACUAAGGAGUCGUUUGGUAGAGUGUGUAAGAAUAAUGCUGAAUAUGAUGUAUUAGUAAUGCAUGCAUUAGUAAUGCUUGCAUUAGUUAUGCUUGCAUUAUUUCUUAUACAUUGUUUGGUUUGAUGUAUUGGAAAUAGCAAGCCUUGUAUAAAGACUAUUAAAAAAUAUUUGUUUACAAAAAUACCCCC